CGAGAGGCCCAAACGUUAUUCGGAUCUACUGGGCUUAAAGAGUUCGUAGGCUGCGCAGAAAGUAGGGUGUGAAAGCCCUCGGCUCAACCGAGGAAUUGCGCUCUAAACUGCUGUGCUUGAGGAACCUAGAGGUGAGCAGAACUGAUGGUGGAGCGGUGAAAUGCGUUGAUAUCAUCAGGAGUACCGGAGGCGAAGGCGGCUCACUGGGGGUUUUCUGACGCUGAGGAACGAAAGCCAGGGGAGCGAACGGGAUUAGAUACCCCGGUAGUCCUGGCCGUAAACGAUGAGCACUGGGCCGGAGGACUGCACAGUUUUCCGGCCGUAGCGAAAGUGUUAAGUGCUCCGCCUGGGGAGUAUGGUCGCAAGGCUG
rnacentral:rRNA from 1 species